CAGCCGCCGCGGUAAUACGUAGGGUGCAAGCGUUAAUCGGAAUUACUGGGCGUAAAGCGUGCGCAGGCGGUUAUAUAAGACAGAUGUGAAAUCCCCGGGCUCAACCUGGGAACUGCAUUUGUGACUGUAUAGCCAGAGUACGGCAGAGGGGGAUGGAAUUCCGCGUGUAGCAGUGAAAUGCGUAGAUAUGCGGAGGAACACCGAUGGCGAAGGCAAUCCCCUGGGCCUGUACUGACGCUCAUGCACGAAAGCGUGGGGAGCAAACAGGAUUAGAUACCCCCGUAGUCCCUGUCUCUUAUAA
rnacentral:rRNA from 1 species